CCAACCUCCUCUUGUUUGGCCCCCAAAGUGCGUGGAGGAAGUGGAUGGGGCGGCCGCUCUUGCUGCCUGUGUGUGCAGCAAAGGGCUGAUGUUGAUCCGAAGUCUCUGGGCUGAUCCCUUCCACAGUCGUGGCCUCCAGGAGGGAGAGGUGUGUGCUCCGACCAGGGACAAGAUGGGACAGCUGAUUCCAGCUUUCCAAAGACAGGAUCUGAACAAGGGAGUCUAGUCUCCAGCCAGUAUGGAAUGCAGCCACGUUGGGCAGAACGAACACGGCACACCGUUUUAUGGAAGCUGCCCCGCCAAUAGUUGCCUCUCUGUGAUCCAGCUACCGAUUGCAUCCGUCAGCUGCAGCUAAAGUUAAAAGAGUGAUACCAUGAAGCCAAGCAGGAAAUCCCAAAACAGGGCUGUUAGAAGGCUUCAUGUGACUUGUGCAGCCCAUAUAGUCUAUCAGAAUGCAUACAUUUCAAUAAUAAAAGAUACUUUUAAAAAAUA